GGUGAGUAACACGUGGGCAACCUGCCUGUAAGACUGGGAUAACUUCGGGAAACCGAAGCUAAUACCGGAUAGGAUCUUCUCCUUCAUGGGAGAUGAUUGAAAGAUGGUUUCGGCUAUCACUUACAGAUGGGCCCGCGGUGCAUUAGCUAGUUGGUGAGGUAACGGCUCACCAAGGCAACGAUGCAUAGCCGACCUGAGAGGGUGAUCGGCCACACUGGGACUGAGACACGGCCCAGACUCCUACGGGAGGCAGCAGUAGGGAAUCUUCCGCAAUGGACGAAAGUCUGACGGAGCAACGCCGCGUGAGUGAUGAAGGCUUUCGGGUCGUAAAACUCUGUUGUUAGGGAAGAACAAGUACAAGAGUAACUGCUUGUACUUUGACGGUACCUAACCAGAAAGCCACGGCUAACUACGUGCCAGCAGCCGCGGUAAUACGUAGGUGGCAAGCGUUAUCCGGAAUUAUUGGGCGUAAAGCGCGCGC
rnacentral:rRNA from 2 species